rnacentral:rRNA from 1 species
CCUACGGGCGGCAGCAGUGAGGAAUCUUGGUCAAUGGCCGAAAGGCUGAACCAGCCAAGCCGCGUGAGGGAAGAAUGUCCUAUGGAUUGUAAACUUCUUUUGUCAGGGAGAAAAGCCACCCACGUGUGGGUGUUGGAGAGUACCUGAAGAAAACGCAUCGGCUAACUCCGUGCCAGCAGCCGCGGUAAUACGGAGGAUGCGAGCGUUAUCCGGAUUUAUUGGGUUUAAAGGGUGCGUAGGCGGGUUAUCAAGUCAGCGGUAAAAUCACGGAGCUCAACCCCGGCCAGCCGUUGAAACUGGUGUGCUUGAGUGGGCGAGAGGUAUGCGGAAUGCGUGGUGUAGCGGUGAAAUGCUUAGAUAUCGCGCAGAACUCCGAUUGCGAAGGCAGCAUACCGGCGCCCGACUGACGCUGAGGCGCGAAAGCGUGGGUAUCGAACAGGAUUAGAUACCCGAGUAGUC